CUACAAUUCAUUGCUAUCAAUAACAUCUGUAGAAGUACUGCCAUCGCCAUUCAGUAUCUGUCAGAAGUCAGAGAAUUGACGAAUAGCCCUGAAAUGGUAAAGGAUGAAAUUCUUGUCACUCAACAAUUUUACGAAUCGAACUAAAAUAAAAUGAAAAAAAAAACAACAUCUGAAAUCAAAAUAAUUUCCUUUUACUUCUGAAGACUGAAAAAAGGCCUCAAAACAUUUAUAGACGACUCUGGUAAAGAUUUGAAAUUCGAUGUUCUAGUGGUGAAAAAAAAAUCAAACAAACAUAGCAGGGAAAGGUGCAACCGAGCUGGCUAGCUUGUACUUGUGGAAUCAUCUUCUACCAUUGUGUGUGUAUUUUUUUUUGUAUUAUCAUCAUCAUCAUCAGAGUGAAGCAUAUAUACCAGGAGCAAUGCUAACUGACGGCAGAGAGCUGUAUUUUUUCUCGUUCGCAUGAUUCGAAUAAAACCUCGUAUAUAUCAGUGAAGAACCACUAUAAAGCGUGAGAACUGUAUACGAGCGGUAAGUGGAUUGUACUUUGUGAGUUAUUUCAAGUGAUUCUGGAGGACUGCUUAUUUGGAAAAAAUUGCGUUAACAGGAAACGUAUGUGUAUGUAGUAGGUACGUUAUGUACUUAUAGAAAGAUCCUUGUGAAUUGUAUAAUGGUACUUGGUAGAAUUACUGUUAUUUUGAUGUUCUAUUUUUUUCGUUGUUCAAUUGUAAAGAUAUAGCUUUUUAGGCACUGACAUUAUAAAAGAUUUCAAGUACUAUUUAACCCAACACAUAUAUAGAUAAGGUAUUGCAAAUAGUUUUCAUUGUUUUGUCCAUUUAAGAAUAUGAGUGCCUUUUUUCUGGAUCUCAAUAAACACUUUACU